rnacentral:rRNA from 1 species
AGAGUUUGAUCCUGGCUCAGGACGAACGCUGGCGGCGUGCUCUUAUACAUGCAAGUCGAGCGAGCUUGCCUAGAUGAUUUUGGUGCUUGCACUAAAUGAAACUAGAUACAAGCGAGCGGCGGACGGGUGAGUAACACGUGGGUAACCUGCCCAAGAGACUGGGAUAACACCUGGAAACAGAUGCUAAUACCUGAUAACAACACUAGACGCAUGUCUAGAGUUUGAAAGAUGGUUCUGCUAUCACUCUUGGAUGGACCUGCGGUGCAUUAGCUAGUUGGUAAGGUAACGGCUUACCAAGGCAAUGAUGCAUAGCCGAGUUGAGAGAUUGAUCGGCCACAUUGGGACUGAGACACGGCCCAAACUCCUACGGGAGGCAGCAGUAGGGAAUCUUCCACAAUGGACGAAAGUCUGAUGGAGCAACGCCGCGUGAGUGAAGAAGGGUUUCGGCUCGUAAAGCUCUGUUGGUAGUGAAGAAAGAUAGAGGUAGUAACUGGCCUUUAUUUGACGGUAAUUACUUAGAAAGUCACGGCUAACUACGUGCCAGCAGCCGCGGUAAUACGUAGGUGGCAAGCGUUGUCCGGAUUUAUUGGGCGUAAAGCGAGUGCAGGCGGUUCAAUAAGUCUGAUGUGAAAGCCUUCGGCUCAACCGGAGAAUUGCAUCAGAAACUGUUGAACUUGGGUGCAGAAGAGGAGAAUGGAACUCCAUGUGUAGCGGUGGAAUGCGUAGAUAUAUGGAAGAACACCAGUGGCGAAGGCGGCUCUCUGGUCUGCAACUGACGCUGAGGCUCGAAAGCAUGGGUAGCGAACAGGAUUAGAUACCCUGGUAGUCCAUGCCGUAAACGAUGAGUGCUAAGUGUUGGGAGGUUUCCGCCUCUCAGUGCUGCAGCU